rnacentral:lncRNA from 1 species
AUGGUGGUGGUGGUGAUGGUGGUGGUGGUGAUGGUGGUGGUGGUGAUGGUGGUGGUGGUGAUGGUGGUGGUGGUGAUGGUGGUGGUGGUGAUGGUGGUGGUGGUGAUGGUGGUGGUGGUGAUGGUGGUGGUGGUGAUGGUGGUGGUGGUGAUGGUGGUGGUGGUGAUGGUGGUGGUGGUGAUGGUGGUGGUGGUGAUGGUGGUGGUGGUGAUGGUGGUGGUGGUGAUGGUGGUGGUGGUGAUGGUGGUGGUGGUGAUGGUGGUGGUGGUGAUGGUGGUGGUGGUGAUGGUGGUGGUGGUGAUGGUGGUGGUGGUGAUGGUGGUGGUGGUGAUGGUGGUGGUGGUGAUGGUGGUGGUGGUGAUGGUGGUGGUGGUGGUGGUGGUGGUGGUGAUGGUGGUGGUGGUGAUGGUGGUGGUGGUGAUGGUGGUGGUGGUGAUGGUGGUGGUGGUGAUGGUGGUGGUGGUGAUGGUGGUGGUGGUGAUGGUGGUGGUGGUGAUGGUGGUGGUGGUGAUGGUGGUGGUGGUGAUGGUGGUGGUGGUGAUGGUGGUGGUGGUGAUGGUGGUGGUGGUGAUGGUGGUGGUGGUGAUGGUGGUGGUGGUGAUGGUGGUGGUGGUGAUGGUGGUGGUGGUGAUGGUGGUGGUGGUGAUGGUGGUGGUGGUGAUGGUGGUGGUGGUGAUGGUGGUGGUGGUGAUGGUGGUGGUGGUGAUGGUGGUGGUGGUGAUGGUGGUGGUGGUGAUGGUGGUGGUGGUGAUGGUGGUGGUGGUGAUGGUGGUGGUGGUGAUGGUGGUGGUGGUGAUGGUGGUGGUGGUGAUGGUGGUGGUGGUGAUGGUGGUGGUGGUGAUGGUGGUGGUGGUGAUGGUGGUGGUGGUGAUGGUGGUGGUGGUGAUGGUGGUGGUGGUGAUGGUGGUGGUGGUGAUGGUGGUGGUGGUGAUGGUGGUGGUGGUGAUGGUGGUGGUGGUGAUGGUGGUGGUGGUGAUGGUGGUGGUGGUGAUGGUGGUGGUGGUGAUGGUGGUGGUGGUGAUGGUGGUGGUGGUGAUGGUGGUGGUGGUGAUGGUGGUGGUGGUGAUGGUGGUGGUGGUGAUGGUGGUGGUGGUGAUGGUGGUGGUGGUGAUGGUGGUGGUGGUGAUGGUGGUGGUGGUGAUGGUGGUGGUGGUGAUGGUGGUGGUGGUGAUGGUGGUGGUGGUGAUGGUGGUGGUGGUGUUGUGUGUGUGUGUGUCUAGUUGUUGGAAUUCCUUUCUGUAA